rnacentral:rRNA from 1 species
GAUGAACGCUGGCGGCGCGCUUAACACAUGCAAGUCGAGCGAAGCGGCGGACGGGUGAGUAACACGUGAGUAACCUGCCUUAGACAUUGGGAUAGUCUCGGGAAACCGGGAUUAAUACCAAAUGGUCUAAGAUGGACUCGCGUCCCAUUAGCUAGUUGGUGGGUAACGGCCCACCAAGGCGACGAUGGGUAGCCGGCGAGAGAGGGUGAACGGCGAAAUUUGAACUGAGAAGCAGUCCGAACUCGACGGGAGGCAGGAGUGGGGAAUAUUGCAAAAUGGAGGGAACGCUGAUGGUGCGAGGACGGGUGAACGAAGAAGGCUUUCGAGACGAAAAGUUCUUGUAAAUGAGAAGCGGUACCAUAAGAAAAAGCCCCGGCUAACUACGUGCCAGCCGCCGCGGUAAUUC